GUGCUCACUUCGGCAGAACAUAUACUAAAAUUGGGAUAAUACCGAGAAGAUUAGCAUGGCCCCUGUAAAAGGAUGACAUGCAAAUUCAUGUAACAUUCCGUAUUUUU